GGUCCGGUAGCUCAACUGGAUAGAGCAUCAGAUUUCUAAUCUGAGGGUUCGGGGUUCGAUUCCCUGCCGGAUCACAA
rnacentral:tRNA from 1 species